GUGGCGGACGGGUGAGUAACGCGUGGGAACAUACCCAAAGGUACGGAAUAGCCUCGGGAAACUGGGAGUAAUACCGUAUGUGCCUUCGGGGGAAAGAUUUAUCGCCUUUGGAUUGGCCCGCGUUGGAUUAGGUAGUUGGUGGGGUAAUGGCCUACCAAGCCGACGAUCCAUAGCUGGUUUGAGAGGAUGAUCAGCCACACUGGGACUGAGACACGGCCCAGACUCCUACGGGAGGCAGCAGUGGGGAAUCUUAGACAAUGGGCGCAAGCCUGAUCUAGCCAUGCCGCGUGAUCGAUGAAGGCCUUAGGGUUGUAAAGAUCUUUCAGAUGGGAAGAUAAUGACGGUACCAUCAGAAGAAGCCCCGGCUAACUCCGUGCCAGCAGCCGCGGUAAUACGGAGGGGGCUAGCGUUAUUCGGAAUUACUGGGCGUAAAGCGCACGUAGGCGGAUCAGAAAGUCAGAGGUGAAAUCCCAGGGCUCAACCUUGGAACUGCCUUUGAAACUCCUGGUCUUGAGUUCGAGAGAGGUGAGUGGAAUUCCGAGUGUAGAGGUGAAAUUCG
rnacentral:rRNA from 1 species